GCCCCUGUAGCUCAGCGGAUAGAGCACCGGUCUUCGGAACCGGGUUGGCGGGAGUUCGAAUCUCUCCAGGGGUG
rnacentral:tRNA from 1 species